GGGACACCCAAUUACAUAGCUCCUGAGGUGCUGAGCAAGAAAGGACACAGUUUCGAGGUGGACGUGUGGUCCAUUGGGUGCAUCAUGUACACCCUGCUAGUUGGUAAGCCACCUUUUGAGACCUCUUGCCUAAAAGAAACCUAUCUCCGCAUCAAGAAGAAUGAAUACAGUAUCCCCAAGCACGUCAACCCCGUGGCUGCCUCCCUCAUCCAGAAGAUGCUACAGACGGACCCCACUGCCCGCCCCACCAUUCACGAGCUGCUCAAG